GUGGGGAAUAUUGCGCAAUGGGGGAAACCCUGACGCAGCGACGCCGCGUGAAGGAAGAAGGCCUUCGGGUUGUAAACUUCUUUGAUCGGGGACGAAGGUGACGGUACCCGAGGAACAAGCCACGGCUAACUACGUGCCAGCAGCCGCGGUAAUACGUAGGUGGCGAGCGUUGUCCGGAAUUACUGGGUGUAAAGGGCGUGUAGGCGGGGCGGCAAGUCAGAUGUGAAAUACCUCGGCUUAACUGGGGUGCUGCAACUGAAACUGUCGUUCUUGAGUGUCGGAGAGGAAAGUGGAAUUCCCAGUGUAGCGGUGAAAUGCGUAGAGAUUGGGAGGAACACCAGUGGCGAAGGCGGCUUUCUGGCCGAUAACUGACGCUGAGGCGCGAAAGCAUGGGGAGCAAACAGGAUUAGAAACCCUAGUAGUCC
rnacentral:rRNA from 1 species